rnacentral:rRNA from 1 species
UCGACGAUGAACCGCUUGCGGGGGAUUAGUGGCGAACGGGUGAGUAACACGUGAGUAACCUGCCCUUAACUCUGGGAUAAGCCUUGGAAACGGGGUCUAAUACUGGAUAUUGACUUUACCUCGCAUGGGGUUUUGUUGAAAGAUUUAUUGGUUUUGGAUGGACUCGCGGCCUAUCAGCUUGUUGGUGAGGUAAUGGCUCACCAAGGCGACGACGGGUAGCCGGCCUGAGAGGGUGACCGGCCACACUGGGACUGAGACACGGCCCAGACUCCUACGGGAGGCAGCAGUGGGGAAUAUUGCACAAUGGGCGAAAGCCUGAUGCAGCGACGCCGCGUGAGGGAUGACGGCCUUCGGGUUGUAAACCUCUUUCAGUAGGGAACAAGGCCAGCAUUUUUGUUGGUUGAGGGUACUUGCAGAAGAAGCGCCGGCUAACUACGUGCCAGCAGCCGCGGUAAUACGUAGGGCGCAAGCGUUAUCCGGAAUUAUUGGGCGUAAAGAGCUCGUAGGCGGUUUGUCGCGUCUGCCGUGAAAGUCCGGGGCUCAACUCCGGAUCUGCGGUGGGUACGGGCAGACUAGAGUGAUGUAGGGGAGACUGGAAUUCCUGGUGUAGCGGUGAAAUGCGCAGAUAUCAGGAGGAACACCGAUGGCGAAGGCAGGUCUCUGGGCAUUAACUGACGCUGAGGAGCGAAAGCAUGGGGAGCGAACAGGAUUAGAUACCCUGGUAGUCCAUGCCGUANACGUUGGGCACUAGGUGUGGGGNACAUUCCACGUUUUCCGCGC